rnacentral:rRNA from 1 species
UACGAAGGGGGCUAGCGUUGCUCGGAAUCACUGGGCGUAAAGGGUGCGUAGGCGGGUUUUUAAGUCAGGGGUGAAAUCCUGGAGCUCAACUCCAGAACUGCCUUUGAUACUGAAAAUCUUGAGUUCGGGAGAGGUGAGUGGAACUGCGAGUGUAGAGGUGAAAUUCGUAGAUAUUCGCAAGAACACCAGUGGCGAAGGCGGCUCACUGGCCCGAUACUGACGCUGAGGCACGAAAGCGUGGGGGAGCAAACAGG